UACAGAGGGUGCAAGCGUUAAUCGGAAUUACUGGGCGUAAAGCGCGCGUAGGUGGUUCGUUAAGUUGGAUGUGAAAGUCCCGGGCUCAACCUGGGAACUGCAUUCAAAACUGUCGAGCUAGAGUAUGGUAGAGGGUGGUGGAAUUUCCUGUGUAGCGGUGAAAUGCGUAGAUAUAGGAAGGAACACCAGUGGCGAAGGCGACCACCUGGACUGAUACUGACACUGAGGUGCGAAAGCGUGGGGAGCAAACAGG
rnacentral:rRNA from 1 species